AGGGUUAAGGAAAGCCCGUGAGAUGCACCCAUUGGAUGGUGAGAUCAGUAGGAAAAUAAGGAAAAAAGGAGAAGGGAGAUAGAAGGAAUAGGAAAUAAUAGGAGAACAAGGCAGGGGGAAGAAAGCAGGAAGAAGGGAAGAGGAACAGAGAAUAAGGAUGGCAGAACCCUUAGAUGUACACAUUGAUGUCAUCCAUGGUGCAGCAUCCACUUCCUCUUUGGGUGGUGGUUGCCAGGGGAAGGAGAGGUGCUGGAAUAGCCAGACAAUUAGGACAUGAUCUUCCCAAGAUUUUUAAUAUAAGAGCUUUAAUGAGAUAAUUCACACACCAAAAAAUUCACCAAACUAGAUUGCGCAAUUCAAUGGUGUUUUGUAUAUUCAGGAACUGUACAACCAUUAGCACAAUCCAUUUCAGAAUACUUUCAUCAUCCCCCCAAAAGAAACCCCAUACCCAUUAGUAGUCACUCCCAUUCCCUCCUGCCUGCCCCAGCCCUAGGCAACACCAAUCGACUUUCUGUCUGUAGGGAUUCACCUAUUCUGGGCAUUUCAUAGAGAUGGAAUCAUACAGUACGUGAUCCUUUGUGACUAGCUUCUAGCAUGAUGUUUUCAAGGUUCAUCCAUAUUGUAGCCUAUGUUAGUAACUUCCUAAAUUUCCUAAUUCAGAGGCAAGAAGGUGAAAGAAAGGAGCUUAAUAUCCUCCCACAUAAGCAAGUGUCAUGAUGGAAACUGUCCCACUGUUCACCCCAAGAAAUCCCACUGAUCCAGUUUAGUCAUUAAUAUACACACUUAAGAUAUCAGGCAGCUGGAUUCUUUCAUUUUUACCAUCAGGGAAACCGAAGCACAGUGAAAUGAUGUUUUCGAGUGUGGGCCUUUUGCACCCUCCACACACCUCUCAUGAAAAAAAGAAAAUGAAAUAGGCUCCAAGUGUAAGGGUCUCUUGUCUCUUGGUUUUUAUGAUUUAGAUUUAAUGUUAAGAGACAAAUAAGGGUCUCCUGGUAGUCUGUCCAUAUGUCUCUCUCUUACCUCUCCAAAGUGACAAUUCCCAGUUCAAUUUUUACAAUGUAAAAGAAUGACUCUCCUCUAAUGGUUAUCUGUCAUUGUUUAUGUUUAAAGUAAUUUUAUAUGUUAAGACUGUAGCCUUAGGAUGCGGGAAAGCAGAAAGCAGUACCCUUGGGCCAAACGCAGUUUCUGAGGUUGGAGGAGCUUCUAAUCUGGAUUGAAAAGGACGCGGCUAGUCAUUGGACUUAGAAAACAUAAACCACCUUUCUUCUAUAACUGAAGUGAGAUGUGUCCCUAAGGGAAGCUACUUGGAGAGUUACGGGAAUGACCAGGCACUAUGCUCAUGAAGCAUCUCAUUUAAUCCUUGCAAGAACCUGAUGGAGUGGAUUCUAGCAUUAUUGACAGUUUUUCUAAGAGGAAACCGAAGGCUUAAUGAGGACAGAAAAUUGAUGCUGACAGCAAGGGCCAAGAAGAGAGCUUGGGAAGCAGGGAGCUGACUUGCACAAGAGGCUUUUAAAACUCCUUUCUCCAAAUUUGAGGGAGGCAUAAGGCUUGCCAAUUCCAACAUGGGCAAUGAAAACUUUGGGAAGUCCAAGGAGAUGGCCUGAAGAAAAUGGAGUGAGAAAGCCAUACUCUACCUUGGAUGAUUGUUUUUGCAGAAGCUGAUUUGGGUAUGAUACACAUAUGUGUGCAUGUACACACACAUACAUACACAUAC
rnacentral:lncRNA from 1 species